UACACAAGCGGUGGAUCACGUGGCUUAAUUCGACAGUAAGCGAGGAACCUUACAGGCUUGACAGGGUAUUGAAAGCUAUAGGAAACUAUAGCCCACCCACAAGGACAAUACCCCAGGUGCUGCAUGGUUGUCGUCAGCAGGUGGCUUGAGUUGCUCCCUUAAAUGGGGUAACCUGCGCAACCCUUGUCCUAUGUUUCAUGUGUCAUAGGAGACUGCCUGGGACAACCAGGAGGAAGGUGAGGAUGACGCCAAAUCAGCAUGGCCCUUUGAUGCCCUGGGCUGCACACGUGGUACAAUGGGACCGACAAUGGGAAGCGAAAGAGCAAUCCGGAGCAAAUCCCAUCAAACGGCCCCUCAAUACGGAUUGAGGUCUGCAACCCGACCUCAUGAAGCCGGAAUCGCUAGUAACCGCAGAUCAGCCACGCUGCGGUGAAUAUGUCCCUGGGUCUU
rnacentral:rRNA from 1 species